GACGAACGCUGGCGGCAGGCCUAACACAUGCAAGUCGAACGAGUGGCGGACGGGUGAGUAAUGUCUGGGAAACUGCCUGAUGGAGGGGGAUAACUACUGGAAACGGUAGCUAAUACCGCAUACCAUCAGAUGUGCCCAGAUGGGAUUAGCUAGUUGGUGGGGUAACGGCUCCCCAAGGCGACGAUCCCUAGCUGGUCUGAGAGGAUGACCAGCCACAAUGAAACUGUGACACGGUCCAGAGUCCAACGGGAGGCAGCAGUGGGGAAUAUUUGACAAUGGGCGCAAACCUGAUGCAGCCAUGCGGCUUGUAUGAAGAAGGCCUUCGGGUUGUAAAGUACUUUCAGCGGGGAGGCGUUACCCGCAGAAGAAGCACCGGCUAACUCCGUGCCAGCAGCCGCGGUAAUAC
rnacentral:rRNA from 1 species